rnacentral:rRNA from 1 species
CGUCAAACAUCGAGCAUCGUGAUGCUAAGGCCGUGAAGCCGCCCUGAUCUCUUCGGAGUUGAGGGGAGUGGUGGAGCCGCCGAACCAAGCGGUUAGUAGGUGAGUGAU